GCAAAAGAAGAUUUUAUUUGUCAGGAAUCAAAAGUGAUUUCCAUUUCAAUUAUCGCCGCUGGAAGGUGAAAAGUUGCACACUGAAAUACAAAAGUCUAAGAAGAACCAGUAAGCCAUUGAAAGCCGGUCCAGUAAACACACCAGUGAACCAUGAAAAGCUCAGGAAUCAUUACUUUACAUGUGAACGAAACAGUUUGCAAAAAGUCACGUUUUUCUGAUCCACUCAAGGUGGAUCAGAAAAACCUGACUUUUAGUUGAUUACAUCUAGAAAAACUACAUUAAAGAAUAGAGGAGUAAUUUAGAAAAACACAGAGAAAAUACCGUUGUAGACCUUGAGUUACAGAACAAAAGCGUAGUAUUUCUAUUUAAUAUCAUUUGUAAU